ensembl:lncRNA
GAUUUGUCGCAUGGAUGCAUUUCUCAGGACACAUUUCCUGUUUGUGUCAGAUGAAGUCAGUGAGGCCUGGUGUCAAUGACGCUCUGGAUCUUCACACACCUGCCGGAGAUCCAGCAUCACACCUCGCAGCCCCAGAGUCGGACUGUGACCCAGAGUGCUCUGUCUCCUGGCCCAUGUCUCAUGUUGAUUGGUGGCCUCGUGUUGCCCGCUGAUCCAUUGUGAUGUCAUAUGUCUGUGCUGCUACCGGUUCCAUGGUAAACAGCCACUGAGGGAAGCUACAAAACCAGAAAGUGAAUGGGUGCCAUCAGAAUGAGAGUACAUACAGCUGAUAAAAACAUCACAAUAAUUCACAGUUAAGCUACACCACUCCAGUCUAUAAAGACUAAAAAGUCCUUUAUCCACAAUAUUGCUUUCUCCAGUGAAAAAAGGCAUCUAUUCUGAAUCAGGAGAGAAAUAUGCACAGAUCAAGCACUGCUAGAGAAACUUACAAAUAGAAAUACAAAAUGUUGCUUACAAAUAGGCUGUUUUUCACUUCAUAAGACGUUUCUUGAUGUGCUGGAAUCGUGUGGAUUACUUGUGGAUUAUUGUGAUGUUUUUAUCAG